GAUGAACGCUGGCGGCAUGCCUAACACAUGCAAGUCGGACGGGAAGUGGUUUUUCGAUUGGUGGACCGGUGGGUAACGUGUGAGACCCUUCUCUAGGGAGGGUUACAAUAGCUGGAAACGGGUGCUAAUAUGGCGUAGUACCAGGUGCAAUAGGGGGAAGCCGUCCGAGGAGGGUGUCGCGUCUGAUGAGCAAGUUGGUGAGGCAGUAGCUUACCAAGGUGAAGAUCAGUAGCUGUUCCGAGGGGAUGAUCAGCCAGACUAGGACUGAGCGACGGCCCAGAGUCCUGAGGAAGGCAGAAGUGGGGAAUUUCCAGCCAUGGGCGGAAGCGUGACGGAGCAAUGCCUCGUGGAGGUAAAAGGGCUUUGGGUCGUGAACUUCAUUUGCCGGACGUGAAGCAAUGACGGUAUCUGGAGAAUAAGCAUCGGCUAACUCCGUG
rnacentral:rRNA from 1 species